rnacentral:lncRNA from 1 species
AACAAGGCAGGACUAUGUGCCUUGCACCUCUAGGGCAAUGUAGGACAGGGCAGAGCAGAAAUUCUACUUCAGCGAGAUCACGGCUGGGAAGAAACUGCAUUUCACAGAUCUUUCUGAGAGAUGUUCACGGUAGGCUGUAAGAGCACAGUGGAGAGUGAGUUGUUUCUUAGUUUCCCAAAGAGCUGGAAACAAGACAAUUUGUGGCUUGUCUCCUUUGGCAGCAAUGAUUCAGCGCUUUGUGUCUUCCAUCUCUAAAGCAAUGUGGGAUAUGGGUUAGAGCAGAAGAUCCAAGGCAGUGAGAUUAUGUCUGGAAACAAACUGCAUUUCCAGCCUUUGUAUGAGAUGUUCCCGUUAGGCUGUAAGAGCACUCUGGAGAGCGAGUUGUUUCUUAGAUUCCCAAAGAUCUGGAAGCAAGAAGCUUUGUCGCCUGUCUUCCUUUGAGGAAACAAGUCAGGACUUUGUGCCUUGGACCUCUAGGCCAUUGUAGGACACAGCAGGGCAGAAGAUCUACUUCAGGGAUAUCAGGGCUGGAAAGAAACUGCGUUUCACAGGCCUUUGUAAGACAUGAUCCAGGUAGGUUCUAAGAGCACUAUGGAGGGCCACUUGUUUCUUAGCUUCACAUAGCUGGAAGAAAGACCGUUUGUGGCUUGUCUCCUUUAAGGCAAUGACUCAUAGCUUUGUCACUUCCACCUCUAGAGCAAUGUAGAACAUGGCAGAACAGAAGUUCUACUUCAGGGAGAUCAGGGCUGGGAAGAAACUUCGUUUCUCAGGCCUUUGUAAGAGAUGUUUCCAGUAAGCUUUAAGAGCACUGUGGAGAGCAAUUUGUUUCCUGUCUUCCCUAAGAGCUGGAAGCCAGACCGUUUGUGGUUUGUCUCCUUUGGAAGCAAUGAUUCAUAGCUUUGUCACUUCCACAUCUAGGGCAAUGUAGGACAGGGCUUCGAAUACAAGUUCCAAGCCGCCGAGAACUGGAUGGAAACAAACUGCAUUUCAGGUCUUUGUAUCAGAAGUUCCCUAUAGUCUGUAAGAGCCCAUUGGAAAGCGAGUUCAUUUUCACCUUGCAAAAGAGCUGGAAGCAAGACGCUUUGGGGCCUGUCUCCCCUUGAGGAAACCAGGCAGCACUUUGUAGCUUGCACCUCUCGGGCAAUGUAUUACACGGCAGAGCAGAAGUUCUACUUCAGCGAGAUCAGGGCUGGGAAGAAACUGUGUUUUACAAAGCUUUCUGAGAGAUGUUCCCGGUAGGCAGUAAGAGUACUGGUGAGAGAGAUUUGUUUCUUAGCUUCCCAAAGAGGUGUAAGCAAGACACUUUGCGGCCUGUCUCCCCUUGAGCAAACAAGGCAGGACCUAUGGCCUUGCACCUCCACUUCAAUGUAGGACACGGCAGAGCAGAAGUUCUACUUCAGCGA